UACCAGACUCCUACGGGAGGCAGCAGUGAGGAAUAUUGGUCAAUGGGCGCGAGCCUGAACCAGCCAAGUCGCGUGAGGGAGGACGGCCCUACGGGUUGUAAACCUCUUUUGCCGGGGAGCAACGGGCGUCACGUGUGGCGCCACUGAGAGUACCCGGAGAAAAAGCAUCGGCUAACUCCGUGCCAGCAGCCGCGGUAAUACGGAGGAUGCGAGCGUUAUCCGGAUUUAUUGGGUUUAAAGGGUGCGUAGGCGGACGCUUAAGUCAGCGGUAAAAUUGCGGGGCUCAACCUCGUCGAGCCGUUGAAACUGGGUGCCUUGAGUGGGCGAGAAGUACGCGGAAUGCGUGGUGUAGCGGUGAAAUGCAUAGAUAUCACGCAGAACUCCGAUUGCGAAGGCAGCAUACCGGCGCCCGACUGACGCUGAAGCACGAAAGCGUGGGUAUCGAACAGGAUUAGAUACCCUGGUAUC
rnacentral:rRNA from 1 species